rnacentral:rRNA from 1 species
AUGAAUCUCCUAAGUUGGAACUGCCGGGGAGGGGGGAAUACCCGGACAGUUCGUGAGCUAGCGACUCUUUGUCAAUCGCAUUCCCCCACUUUGGUUUUCUUAUGUGAGACAAGGCAGAUGGCAGACAAGAUGAAAAGAUGCCGCGGGAGGUUGGGGCUGAAGGGCUUUUGCGGCGUGGACAGUAACAAUAUGAGUGGUGGUCUAGCCUUUUAUUGGCAUGAAUCUUAUGACGUCCAGAUUUUGGACAAAAGGGACAGAUAUAUCGACGCCCUGGUACGAGUCCAUCCGGACGCUGAGCAGUGGAGAGUUACUUGCAUAUAUGGAGAACCUAGAGUGGAAAAUAGACCUCUAAUGUGGUCGACGUUACAGAACCUGAAAAGUGUUAGUGAUCUGCCAUGGUUAGUUGUUGGUGAUUUUAAUGAGGCUAUGUGGAACUUUGAGCACAUGUCUACCACACCGAGAUUCGAAGCACAAAUGGUGGCCUUUAGGGAUGCUUUGGAGAUCUGUGGUUUGGUUGAUCUCGGGUUUAUUGGAGUUCCAUUCACAUACGACAAUAAAUGA